UACGGGGGGGGCAAGCGUUGUUCGGAAUUACUGGGCGUAAAGGGCUCGUAGGCGGCCAACUAAGUCAUACGUGAAAUCCCUCGGCUUAACCGGGGAACUGCGUCUGAUACUGGAUGGCUAGAGUUCGGUAGGGGAGACUGGAAUUCCUGGUGUAGCGGUGAAAUGCGCAGAUAUCAGGAGGAACACCGGUGGCGAAGGCGGGUCUCUGGGCCGAUACUGACGCUGAGGAGCGAAAGCGUGGGGAGCGAACAGG
rnacentral:rRNA from 1 species